rnacentral:pre_miRNA from 1 species
AUUCUACUCCCUCCGUUGCACAAUACAUGCCUUCUAUUUGUCAAAAUAUAUAUGUAUCUAGAUAUGUUUUAGUAUAUAGGUACAUCCAUUUUUGGACAAAUGGAAGUCAAGUAUUUUGGAACGGUGGGAGUACACA